rnacentral:lncRNA from 1 species
GCUUGAAAGUGGGUGAAAUAAAUGAAGUCUUAACAUUAAACAUCUAGAGCUGGUGGUAAGGUUUGAUUUGGAAAGUAGAUCCUCAUUUAAGAAACAUAAAAUGAACUUUUAGCUUCAGCACACCCCCUUAGUAGACAGAGUAAGAACAAAACUUAGACAGCAUUGUAGAACUGUCCACAUUUAUUCAUUGGACCAGUAGGAUGUUGUUUAUGGACUGAUCUGAGUCUUCUUUAGGGUUGUUUGUUUUUUUUAAUUAAGUUUGAAAUUUUUUGAAGACAUAACUUAUUCUGGGCUUUGUUUGUAGUACCAAGGGGGAGGGGGUAUCAAAUCCAGCACUUUGCACAUGCACUCUGCCACUGACCUACCUCCCAAUCCUAGAAAGAGUUUUUCAGUUACCUGACAGGGUAGAUACCAUGAUCACAAAGGUGGUUUUCCCAAGAUGAGACUUAUCCAUUGCACUCCAGAUGUGCUGACCCUGCAGUUUUCCUAAUGUGGUAGUGGGGGACUUAGUUUGCACUUGCCUCUGAAACAAACAAAAAAAGAAAGAAAUGAUCCAAAAUACAUAACAUCAGUUUGUGGGUGCUGGUGAAUGCAAUAAAUGAAAUAAUAUUUGGGGUUGGGGUCACUCUGUAAUGGAAACCGAUUAGGCAAUCAAAUUAGGUAAUCAUGGGGGUAUUAGUAUUAGACAGAUGGGUUUAAGUGAUGUUUUUGUAUUUUAUGUGUAUGGUGUUUUGACUUUAUGAAUGUCUGGGCACUGUGUGGGCAGCAUCCUCAGAAGCCAGGAGAAGGUUUCAGAUCUCCUAGAUCUGGAGAAGGUGAUUGUGAGCUGCCAUGUAGGUGUUGGGAAUUGAACCCUGGUCCUCCAAAAGAGCAACCAGUGUAACAUCACUCUAACUCCUAAAGUGAUUUUCUUUUUUAAAAAAUCUUAAAGGUUUUUACUGUUUUGUACAAAGACUAGCGUGAUCUCUUCCAGUGGGUAGAUGUCCUUGAAUAUACAUUCAAAGAAGUUCAGUGCAUUACACAGAGAAACAGCUCUAAGGACGAACUAUAGAAAUGAUGCCUGAGAUGAUAGCUUUCCUAAGUGGAUUUCCCCAAUAUUUUUUUAAAGUAGAAUUUUACUUUGUAUCCAAAACAACCCUAUUCAUUUUGUUAGAUUAUUACAUAGUGAAUUUAAUGUGUGUUUAAACUAAAAUCUUAACCUUAGUUUCUUAUUACAGAGUGUGACAACCUAACCUUUUUUAAAGUAGGAGCAAAAUGGAGGAUACUCUGAAGAAUAGACCUUAGGUUAUUCCUUCUGCAAAUUGGUGAUGGGCCAUACUCUUCUAGCACCAAUAUUCAAAUGCCAGAGACUAGAAGAGACUUACCACCACAUUCUGCUCCCCAGCAUCCGUAGUCUCUUGGCCGUGCAAUAAUGCAAAAUGUGUUUAGUUCAACUUAAAAGUCCUUAGUCUUUCACAGUCUUAACACUGUUUAAAAGUUCAAAGUCUGUUCUGAAACUCAAAGCAAUCUCUUAACUGCAACUUCCUCUAAAACC